rnacentral:rRNA from 1 species
UGAGUAAUGUCUGGGAAACUGCCUGAUGGAGGGGGAUAACUACUGGAAACGGUAGCUAAUACCGCAUAACGUCGCAAGACCAAAGAGGGGGACCUUCGGGCCUCUUGCCAUCAGAUGUGCCCAGAUGGGAUUAGCUAGUAGGUGGGGUAAUGGCUCACCUAGGCGACGAUCCCUAGCUGGUCUGAGAGGAUGACCAGCCACACUGGAACUGAGACACGGUCCAGACUCCUACGGGAGGCAGCAGUGGGGAAUAUUGCACAAUGGGCGCAAGCCUGAUGCAGCCAUGCCGCGUGUAUGAAGAAGGCCUUCGGGUUGUAAAGUACUUUCAGCGGGGAGGAAGGUGUUGUGGUUAAUAACCACAGCAAUUGACGUUACCCGCAGAAGAAGCACCGGCUAACUCCGUGCCAGCAGCCGCGGUAAUACGGAGGGUGCAAGCGUUAAUCGGAAUUACUGGGCGUAAAGCGCACGCAGGCGGUCUGUCAAGUCGGAUGUGAAAUCCCCGGG